GUGACUGCGUACCUUUUGUAUAAUGGGUCAGCGACUUAUAUUCUGUAGCAAGGUUAACCGUAUAGGGGAGCCGGAGGGAAACCGAGUCUUAACCGGGCGUUAAGUUGCAGGGUAUAGACCCGAAACCCGGUGAUCUAGCCAUGGGCAGGUUGAAGGUUGGGUAACACUAACUGGAGGACCGAACCGACUAAUGUUGAAAAAUUAGCGGAUGACCUGUGGCUGGGGGUGAAAGGCCAAUCAAACCGGGAGAUAGCUGGUUCUCCCCGAAAGCUAUUUAGGUAGCGCCUCGUGAACUCAUCUCCGGGGGUAGAGCACUGUUUCGGCUAGGGGGCCAUCCCGGCUUACCAACCCGAUGCAAACUGCGAAUACCGGAGAAUGUUAUCACGGGAGACACACGGCGGGUGCUAACGUCCGUCGUGAAGAGGGAAACAACCCAGACCGCCAGCUAAGGUCCCAAAGUCAUGGUUAAGUGGGAAACGAUGUGGGAAGGCCCAGACAGCCAGGAUGUUGGCUUAGAAGCAGCCAUCAUUUAAAGAAAGCGUAAUAGCUCACUGGUCGAGUCGGCCUGCGCGGAAGAUGUAACGGGGCUAAACCAUGCACCGAAGCUGCGGCAGCGACGCUGAUGCGUUGUUGGGUAGGGGAGCGUUCUGUAAGCCUGCGAAGGUGGCCUGUGAGGGUUGCUGGAGGUAUCAGAAGUGCGAAUGCUGACAUAAGUAACGAUAAAGCGGGUGAAAAGCCCGCUCGCCGGAAGACCAAGGGUUCCUGUCCAACGUUAAUCGGGGCAGGGUGAGUCGACCCCUAAGGCGAGGCCGAAAGGCGUAGUCGAUGGGAAACGGGUUAAUAUUCCCGUACUUGGUGUUACUGCGAAGGGGGGACGGAGAAGGCUAUGUUGGCCGGGCGACGGUUGUCCCGGUUUAAGCGUGUAGGUGUGUGUUCCAGGUAAAUCCGGUUCACUUUAACACUGAGGCGUGAUGACGAGGCGCUACGGUGCUGAAGCAACAAAUGCCCUGCUUCCAGGAAAAGCCUCUAAGCAUCAGGUAACAUCAAAUCGUACCCCAAACCGACACAGGUGGUCAGGUAGAGAAUACCAAGGCGCUUGAGAGAACUCGGGUGAAGGAACUAGGCAAAAUGGUGCCGUAACUUCGGGAGAAGGCACGCUGACACGUAGGUGAAGUGAUUUACUCAUGGAGCUGAAGUCAGUCGAAGAUACCAGCUGGCUGCAACUGUUUAUUAAAAACACAGCACUGUGCAAACACGAAAGUGGACGUAUACGGUGUGACGCCUGCCCGGUGCCGGAAGGUUAAUUGAUGGGGUCAGCGCAAGCGAAGCUCCUGAUCGAAGCCCCGGUAAACGGCGGCCGUAACUAUAACGGUCCUAAGGUAGCGAAAUUCCUUGUCGGGUAAGUUCCGACCUGCACGAAUGGCGUAAUGAUGGCCAGGCUGUCUCCACCCGAGACUCAGUGAAAUUGAACUCGCUGUGAAGAUGCAGUGUACCCGCGGCAAGACGGAAAGACCCCGUGAACCUUUACUAUAGCUUGACACUGAACAUUGAGCCUUGAUGUGUAGGAUAGGUGGGAGGCUUUGAAGUGUGGACGCCAGUCUGCAUGGAGCCGACCUUGAAAUACCACCCUUUAAUGUUUGAUGUUCUAACGUGGACCCGUGAUCCGGGUUGCGGACAGUGUCUGGUGGGUAGUUUGACUGGGGCGGUCUCCUCCUAAAGAGUAACGGAGGAGCACGAAGGUUGGCUAAUCCUGGUCGGACAUCAGGAGGUUAGUGCAAUGGCAUAAGCCAGCUUGACUGCGAGCGUGACGGCGCGAGCAGGUGCGAAAGCAGGUCAUAGUGAUCCGGUGGUUCUGAAUGGAAGGGCCAUCGCUCAACGGAUAAAAGGUACUCCGGGGAUAACAGGCUGAUACCGCCCAAGAGUUCAUAUCGACGGCGGUGUUUGGCACCUCGAUGUCGGCUCAUCACAUCCUGGGGCUGAAGUAGGUCCCAAGGGUAUGGCUGUUCGCCAUUUAAAGUGGUACGCGAGCUGGGUUUAGAACGUCGUGAGACAGUUCGGUCCCUAUCUGCCGUGGGCGCUGGAGAACUGAGGGGGGCUGCUCCUAGUACGAGAGGACCGGAGUGGACGCAUCACUGGUGUUCGGGUUGUCAUGCCAAUGGCACUGCCCGGUAGCUAAAUGCGGAAGAGAUAAGUGCUGAAAGCAUCUAAGCACGAAACUUGCCCCGAGAUGAGUUCUCCCUGAGACUUUAGGUCUCCUGAAGGAACGUUGAAGACGACGACGUUGAUAGGCCGGGUGUGUAAGCGCAGCGAUGCGUUGAGCUAACCGGUACUAAUGAACCGUGAGGCUUAACCUUACAACGCCGAAG
rnacentral:rRNA from 1 species